rnacentral:lncRNA from 1 species
GGGUGGAUAUGCGAGGCCUUGGUAGGCAGUUGUGACUGAACAUGGAGCUUCAAUUUUAAAUUUCGAUGAGCGUAUUUCCUGGCUGGGUGUAUUAAUUUUGGAUGACUAAUGGGAGGAAGGCAAUUGAUAAGGAGGAGCCACGUGUAGGCUGUCUGUUCGUGGGCCAUGAUUCGUGAUCUUCUGGAUUCAUCUUUUCUUAGCUAUAAAAGGGGGUGCCAGCUUUCCUACCUUUUUACACUAUUUAGCGAUAUUCCUUUUCCUUCUAGCUUUUCCUUUCGGUGCCUUUUGAUUCACCAUCACA